rnacentral:rRNA from 1 species
GGAUAACCUGCCCUUGGGUUCGGGAUAACCCCGGGAAACUGGGGAUAAUACCGGAUAACGCAUAUGUGCUGGAAUGCUUUAUGCGUAAAACGGAUUCGUCUGCCCAAGGAUGGGUCUGCGGCCUAUCAGGUAGUAGUGGGUGUAAUGUACCUACUAGCCGACAACGGGUACGGGUUGUGAGAGCAAGAGCCCGGAGAUGGAUUCUGAGACAUGAAUCCAGGCCCUACGGGGCGCAGCAGGCGCGAAAACUUUACAAUGCGGGAAACCGUGAUAAGGGGACACCGAGUGCCAGCAUCAUAUGCUGGCUGUCCGGGUGUGUAAAAUACACCUGUUAGCAAGGGCCGGGCAAGACCGGUGCCAGCCGCCGCGGUAACACCGGCGGCCCGAGUGGUGAUCGUGAUUAUUGGGUCUAAAGGGUCCGUAGCCGGUUUGGUCAGUCCUCCGGGAAAUCUGAUAGCUCAACUAUUAGGCUUUCGGGGGAUACUGCCAGGCUUGGAACCGGGAGAGGUAAGAGGUACUACAGGGGUAGGAGUGAAAUCUUGUAAUCCCUGUGGGACCACCUGUGGCGAAGGCGUCUUACCAGAACGGGUUCGACGGUGAGGGACGAAAGCUGGGGGCACGAACCGGAUUAGAUACCCGGGUAGUCCCAGCCGUAAACGAUGCUCGCUAGGUGUCAGGCAUGGCGCGACCGUGUCUGGUGCCGCAGGGAAGCCGUGAAGCGAGCCACCUGGGAAGUACGGCCGCAAGGCUGAAACUUAAAGGAAUUGGCGGGGGAGCACAACAACGGGUGGAGCCUGCGGUUUAAUUGGACUCAACGCCGGACAACUCACCGGG